rnacentral:rRNA from 1 species
GAUGAACGCUGGCGGCGUGCCUAAUACAUGCAAGUCGAGCGAACAGACGAGGAGCUUGCUCCUCUGACGUUAGCGGCGGACGGGUGAGUAACACGUGGAUAACCUACCUAUAAGACUGGGAUAACUUCGGGAAACCGGAGCUAAUACCGGAUAAUAUAUUGAACCGCAUGGUUCAAUAGUGAAAGACGGUUUUGCUGUCACUUAUAGAUGGAUCCGCGCCGCAUUAGCUAGUUGGUAAGGUAACGGCUUACCAAGGCGACGAUGCGUAGCCGACCUGAGAGGGUGAUCGGCCACACUGGAACUGAGACACGGUCCAGACUCCUACGGGAGGCAGCAGUAGGGAAUCGUCCGCAAUGGGCGAAAGCCUGACGGAGCAACGCCGCGUGAGUGAUGAAGGUCUUCGGAUCGUAAAACUCUGUUAUUAGGGAAGAACAAAUGUGUAAGUAACUAUGCACGUCUUGACGGUACCUAAUCAGAAAGCCACGGCUAACUACGU